AGUGAACGCUGGCGGUAGGCCUAACACAUGCAAGUCGAACGGCAGCACCGUAAGAGCUUGCUCUUACGGGUGGCGAGUGGCGGACGGGUGAGGAAUACAUCGGAAUCUACUUUUUCGUGGGGGAUCACGUAGGGAAACUUACGCUAAUACCGCAUACGACCUACGGGUGAAAGCAGGGGAUCUUCGGACCUUGUGCGAUUGAAUGAGCCGAUGUCGGAUUAGCUAGUUGGCGGGGUAAAGGCCCACCAAGGCGACGAUCCGUAGCUGGUCUGAGAGGAUGAUAGGCGACACUGGAACGUAGACACGGACCAGAGGCCUGCGGGAGGCAGCAGUGGGGAAUGUUGGACAAUGGGCGCAAGCCUGAUCCAGCCAUAGCGCGUGGGUGAAGAAGGCCUUCGGGUUGUAAAGCCCGUUUGUUGGGAAAGAAAAGCAGCAGGUUAAUACCCCGCUGUUCUGACGGUACCCAAAGAAUAAGCACCGGCUAACUUCGUG
rnacentral:rRNA from 1 species